ACCCGCUGAACUUAAGCAUAUCAAUAAGCGGAGGAAAAGAAACCAACAGGGAUUGCCCUAGUAACGGCGAGUGAAGCGGCAACAGCUCAAAUUUGAAAUCUGGCUUUCGGGCCCGAGUUGUAAUUUGUAGAGGAUACUUUUGAUGCGGUGCCUUCCGAGUUCCCUGGAACGGGACGCCAUAGAGGGUGAGAGCCCCGUCUGGUUGGAUGCCAAAUCUCUGUAAAGUUCCUUCGACGAGUCGAGUAGUUUGGGAAUGCUGCUCUAAAUGGGAGGUAUAUGUCUUCUAAAGCUAAAUAUUGGCCAGAGACCGAUAGCGCACAAGUAGAGUGAUCGAAAGAUGAAAAGCACUUUGAAAAGAGAGUUAAAAAGUACGUGAAAUUGUUGAAAGGGAAGCGUUUAUGACCAGACUUGGACUUGGUUAAUCAUCUGGGGUUCUCUCCAGUGCACUUUUCCAGUUCAGGCCAGCAUCAGUUUUCGCCGGGGGAUAAAGGCAGCGGGAAUGUGGCUCUCUUCGGGGAGUGUUAUAGCCCGCUGUGUAAUACCCUGGUGGGGACUGAGGUUCGCGCUUCUGCAAGGAUGCUGGCGUAAUGGUCAU
rnacentral:rRNA from 1 species